CAAUAGCGUAUAUUAAAGUUGUUGCGGUUAAAAAGCUCGUAGUUGGAUUUCUGCCGAGGACGACCGGUCCGCCCUCCGGGUGAGCAUCUGGCUCGGCCUAGGCAUCUUCUUGGGGAGCGUAUCUGCACUUCAUUGUGUGGUGCGGUAUCCAAGACUUUUACUUUGAGGAAAUUAGAGUGUUUCAAGCAGGCCCACGCCUUGAAUACAUUGGCAUGGAAUAAUAAGGUAGGACCUCGGUUCUAUUUUGUUGGUUUCUAGAAUUGAGGUAAUGAUUAAUAGGGAUAGUUGGGGGCAUUCGUAUUUAACUGUCAGAGGUGAAAUUCUUGGAUAUGUUAAAGACGGACUACUGCGAANGNAUUUGCNAAGGAUGUUUNCAUUG
rnacentral:rRNA from 1 species